UACAGUGGUCCCAAGCGUUGUUCGGAUUCAUUGGGCGUAAAGGGUGCGUAGGCGGUGGGGUAAGUUGGAUGUGAAAUCUUGGGGCUUAACCUCAAAAUUGCAUUCAAUACUGCUCCGCUCGAGUUCUGUAGAGGAGAUUGGAAUUUACGGUGUAGCAGUGAAAUGCGUAGAUAUCGUAAGGAACGCCAGUGGCGAAAGCGAAUCUCUGGGCAGCAACUGACGCUGAGGCACGAAGGCCAGGGGAGCAAACGGG
rnacentral:rRNA from 1 species